rnacentral:rRNA from 1 species
GUGACGGCGUACCUUUUGUAUAAUGGGUCAUCGACUUGGUCUAUCUAGCAAGCUUAAGCCGUUAGGUGUAGGCGCAGCGAAAGCGAGUCUUAAUAGGGCGUAUGAGUUAGAUGGAUCAGACCCGAAACCGAGUGAUCUAGGCAUGACCAGGAUGAAGGUAAGGUAACACUUACUGGAGGUCCGAACCCACACCUGUUGAAAAAGGUCGGGAUGAGUUGUGCCUAGGGGUGAAAGGCCAAUCAAACUCGGAGAUAGCUGGUUCUCUGCGAAAUCUAUUUAGGUAGAGCGUCAUCCGAAUACCCUCGGGGGUAGAGCACUGGAUGGGUAAUGGGGCCCCACAGGCUUACUGAUCCUAACCAAACUCCGAAUACCGAGGAGUACUAGAUGGCAGACAGACAGCGGAUGCUAACGUCCGUUGUCGAGAGGGAAACAACCCUGACCUACAGCUAAGGCCCCUAAUUCAUGGCUAAGUGGGAAAGCAGGUGGGACGACCAAAACAACCAGGAGGUUGGCUUAGAAGCAGCCAUCCUUUAAAGAUAGCGUAACAGCUCACUGGUCUAAAUAAGUUGUCCUGCGGCGAAGAUGUAACGGGGCUCAAGCCAUGAGCCGAAGCUUAGGAUGAGUGAAUUCUUCGGAAUUCAUUCGUGGUAGCAGAGCGUAGUGUGACAUAGUUCCGUGUCUCUUUAGCGACUUCGGUCGUUACGGAGACGUGGAGCUUUCGAUGAAGCGGGCGCGUGAGCGAUCCCGUGGAGAGAUCACUAGUGAGAAUGAUGACAUGAGUAGCGACAAACAGUGUGAGAGACACUGUCGCCGAAAGUCCAAGGGUUCCUGCUUAAAGCUAAUCUGAGCAGGGUAAGCCGACCCCUAAGGCGAGGCCGAAAGGCGUAGUCGAUGGGAACCAGGUUAAUAUUCCUGGGCCAGAUGGAAGUGACGGAUCUCGAGGGUAGUUCAUCCUUAUCGGAUUGAGUGGGCUGCUUAGAGGUUCCUGGAAAUAGCUCCAUCGCUAGAUCGUACCCUAAACCAACACAGGUGGACUGGUAGAGAAUACCAAGGCGCUUGAGAGAACCACAUUUAAGGAACUCGGCAAAAUACCUCCGUAAGUUCGCGAGAAGGAGGCCCGGUUUUUACGCAAGUAGAGGCCGGGGGCACAAACCAGGGGGUGGCGACUGUUUACUAAAAACACAGGGCUCUGCGAAGUCGCAAGACGACGUAUAGGGUCUGACGCCUGCCCGGUGCCUGAAGGUUAAAAGGAGGGGUGAGAGCUCUGAAUUGAAGCCCAGGUAAACGGCGGCCGUAACUAUAACGGUCCUAAGGUAGCGAAAUUCCUUGUCGGGUAAGUUCCGACCUGCACGAAUGGCGUAACGACUUCCCCGCUGUCUCAAAUGUGGACUCAGCGAAAUUGAAUUGCCUGUCAAGAUGCAGGCUUCCCGCGGUUAGACGGAAAGACCCCGUGCACCUUUACUACAGCUUCGCACUGGCAUCAGGAUUGUGAUGUGCAGGAUAGGUGGUAGACUUUGAAGCCGGAACGCCAGUUUCGGUGGAGUCACCCUUGAGAUACCACUCUUCGCACUCUUGAUGUCUAACCGCGGUCCGUUAUCCGGAUCCGGGACCCUGCGUGGCGGGUAGUUUGACUGGGGCGGUCGCCUCCUAAAUCGUAACGGAGGCGCGCGAAGGUUGGCUCAGACCGGUCGGAAAUCGGUCGUUGAGUGCAAUGGCAGAAGCCAGCCUGACUGCGAGACUGACAAGUCGAGCAGAGACGAAAGUCGGUCAUAGUGAUCCGGUGGUCCCAAGUGGGAGGGCCAUCGCUCAACGGAUAAAAGGUACGCCGGGGAUAACAGGCUGAUACUGCCCAAGAGUCCAUAUCGACGGCAGUGUUUGGCACCUCGAUGUCGGCUCAUCUCAUCCUGGGGCUGGAGCAGGUCCCAAGGGUACGGCUGUUCGCCGUUUAAAGAGGUACGUGAGCUGGGUUUAGAACGUCGUGAGACAGUUCGGUCCCUAUCUGCCGUGGGUGUAGGAUACUUGAGAGGAGUUGCCCCUAGUACGAGAGGACCGGGGUGAACGUUCCACUGGUGGACCUGUUGUUGCGCCAGCAGCAGUGCAGGGUAGCUAUGAACGGACAGGAUAACCGCUGAAGGCAUCUAAGCGGGAAGCCCCCCUCAAAACAAGGUAUCCCUGAGAGCCGUGGUAGACCACCACGUCGAUAGGCCGGAGAUGUAAGCGCAGCAAUGCGUUCAGUUGACCGGUACUAAUUGCUCGAUAGGCUUGAUUUGA